rnacentral:misc_RNA from 1 species
AGCAGCCGCGGUAAUUCCAGCUCCAAUAGCGUAUAUUAAAGUUGUUGCAGUUAAAAGCUCGUAGUUGAAUUUCGGGAUCAAUAUGUCGGUCGUGCCUUGGUACGUACUGGUAUCAUUGGUCUCUCCUUUCUGACGAACCAUGAUGUCAUUAAUUUGGUGUUAUGGGAAGUUAGGACUGUUACUUUGAAAAAUUAGAGUGUUUAAAGCAGGCUUUAGCUUGAAUACAUUAGCAUGGAAUAAUGAAAUAGGACGUUCGAACCUAUUUUGUUGGUUUCUAGGAUCAACGUAAUGAUUAAUAGGGAUAGUUGGGGGCAUUAGUAUUCAAUUGUCAGAGGUGAAAUUCUUGGAUUUAUUGAAGACUAACUACUGCGAAAGCAUUUGCCAAGGAUGUUUUCAUUAAUCAAGAACGAAAGUUAGGGAUCGAAGACGAUCAGAUACCGUCGUAGUCUUAACCAUAAACUAUGCCGACUAGGGAUCGGAUGAUGUUAAUUUUUAAUGUACUCAUUCGGCGUCCUUACGG